UACGUAGGGUGCAAGCGUUGUCCGGAAUUAUUGGGCGUAAAGAGCUCGUAGGCGGUCUGUCGCGUCGGCUGUGAAAGCCCGGGGCUCAACCCCGGGUCUGCGGUGGGUACGGGCAGACUGGAGUGCAGUAGGGGAGACCGGAAUUCCUGGUGUAGCGGUGAAAUGCGCAGAUAUCAGGAGGAACACCGAUGGCGAAGGCAGGUCUCUGGGCUGUAACUGACGCUGAGGAGCGAAAGCAUGGGGAGCGAACAGG
rnacentral:rRNA from 1 species